rnacentral:rRNA from 1 species
CACGUAGGGGGCAAGCGUUGUCCGGAUUUAUUGGGCGUAAAGAGCUCGUAGGCGGUUCGGUAAGUUGGGUGUGAAACCUCCAGGCUCAACCUGGAGACGCCACCCGAUACUGCUGUGACUAGAGUCCGGUAGGGGAGCGUGGAAUUCCUGGUGUAGCGGUGGAAUGCGCAGAUAUCAGGAGGAACACCAAUAGCGAAGGCAGCUCGCUGGGACGUUACUGACACUGAGGCGCGAAAGCGUGGGGAGCGAACAGG